rnacentral:lncRNA from 1 species
AUUGAAUUGAAUUAUAGUUAUGAAAAUUAAAACCUCGCUUAAUUCUAGAGUCUCUAAUUUUUGCCUCUGGCCGGUUAAUUAGGGUUUCCUGAAAUAUCUGAUCCAAUUAUCUUGAAGAAGCAAAAGAGGAAAAUGUAUAGAGGAAUUUUGGACAUUAGUGGCCGCCAUAGAUUUGUCGUUUAGUGAAUGUCGUUUUUGCGAUAAAUUAAUAUUAUCCCUUCUAAGGAAAAUGGAAAUUAACUUUCCAUAAUUGACCUGCAAGUUCAUGGGAACCCUACAAAUUCAAAGUUCAUGGUCG